GAUAGCAUCUCCAUGGUAACCACCCGGAAGUAUGAAUCUACUCAAAGCUUGCCCUAAACACUCGCCGCCAAGUGCUAACUCGGGUUUUGAUGAUAAUCAUUUUUUAAUCAAAAGAAAUGCGGCAGCCGUUUCAAGAGUACUUUCAUUAAAGGUGGUGAUAGACUUCAAAGUGAACAUACACUUGGAAUCUGCGAAAUAAUGAGGCUAGCUGUGAGGUCGAAGAAGAUAUCCUUGAGAUACGAGAAUAAACUAAUUGAACCUACAC